GGAGGAAAAGAAACCAACAGGGAUUGCCUUAGUAGCGGCGAGUGAAGCGGCAAUAGCUCAAAUUUGAAAUCUGGCACUUUCAGUGUCCGAGUUGUAAUUUGAAGAAGGUAUCUUUGGGUCUAGCUCUUGUCUAUGUUUCUUGGAACAGAACGUCACAGAGGGUGAGAAUCCCGUGCGAUGAGAUGUCUAGAUCUAUGUAAAGUUCCUUCGAAGAGUCGAGUUGUUUGGGAAUGCAGCUCUAAGUGGGUGGUAAAUUCCAUCUAAAGCUAAAUAUUGGCGAGAGACCGAUAGCGAACAAGUACAGUGAUGGAAAGAUGAAAAGAACUUUGAAAAGAGAGUGAAAAAGUACGUGAAAUUGUUGAAAGGGAAGGGCUUGAGAUCAGACUUGGUAUUUUGUAUGUUACUCUCUCGGGGGUGGCCUCUACAGUUUACCGGGCCAGCAUCAGUUUGAGCGGUAGGAGAAUUGCGUAGGAAUGUGGCUCGGCCUCGGUCGAGUGUUAUAGCCUUCGUCGAUACUGCCAGCUUAGACUGAGGACUGCGGCUUCGGCCUAGGAUGUUGGCAUAAUGAUCUUAAGUCGCCCGUCUUGAAA
rnacentral:rRNA from 1 species